rnacentral:lncRNA from 1 species
UCUGGAUCACAUGGAAGAACAGAACCUAGAGAUAGGGCAGCACCAGAGCAGCUAAAGGAGUUAACGUGUCUACAGCUUUCUCGGUAGGGAAGGGGAUAAGGGAAGCUAUUAGGCUUGCGUCAGUCUCUCAUUUAACAGUAGCUCUUCUGAAAAGUAGUGAAUUGUAAGUAAGUUCUGUUAGGUUCUUAGUAGCAUUUGUGUGUAUAGGUUGUUAUGUUUUGUUCUCUGGGUUUUUCCUUCAUUUAUGUAUGAUUCUAUCUUUUUUUAUUUUAGAAUAGCGGUUUCCCCCUCCCUCCAUUCCUGAUCGUGCUUGUAGUCGUUUCUCCCGCACUUCGGCUUCUCGCCCACCAUUCACGCACGCUUUUGCCUAGCCCCAUUUGAUCAGGACUGUCUCCAUUCUUCAAGGCUUUUCUAGGGGGGUCUCGCCUUUUGAACUUGGUUGCCAAGCCUAAAAUCUCCACUGCUUCGAUCGACACUUCCUUAAAUUCCAACGCCACGCAUUCUAUGAUUUUGCCGACCUUGCUUAUGGAUAUAAG